GAUGAAGAACGUAGCGAAAUGCGAUAAGUAAUGUGAAUUGCAGAAUUCCGUGAAUCAUCGAAACUUUGAACGCACAUUGCGCCCCCUGGCAUUCCGGGGGGCAUGCCUGUCCGAGCGUCAUUUCUGCCCUCAAGCCCGGCUUGUGUGUUGGGCGUGGUCCCCCCGGUUUAGGGGGGACCUGCCCGAAAGGCAGCGGCGACGUUCCGCCUAGGUCCUCGAGCGUAUGGGGCUUUGUCACCCGCUCGGGAGGGGCCUACGGGCGUUGGCCAUCCACCAUUUAUUUUUUUUACGGUUGACCUCGGAUCAGGUAGGAGUUACCCGCUGAACUUAAGCAUAUCAAUAAGCGGAGGA
rnacentral:misc_RNA from 1 species